rnacentral:misc_RNA from 1 species
AAAAAAAAUAAAAAAAAAAAAGGAAGAAGAAGAGAAGUGACCAUCGCAGACCUAGACGAGCAAGGACUGAAAGAAGAAGAAGAAGAAGAUCAAACCUGGCUUACUGCUCUGCUUCCCAGUGAUGCAGGUAUUUAUUUUUUUAUUUUUUAUUUUUAUUGUAACAGUCGUUACCGUGUCAUAAUGUUAAAGUCCAUUAACAUAGCUUUUUUGUCAAGUAAAGGCCAUUCUGAGUGUUACCAUAUAGAACAUGUUGUUUUGGUUGAGAAAGCUGCAGACAAACCCACUUUCCUAAGCUACCAACACUUCCAUUUCCUAAAAACAUUCCUUUGCGCUGUUUGUUUUCAUUUCUUUAAACCACUUCAAACCAAUUCUAUAUUUCAUUGAAAAUAAAGAAACAAAUAUGAAGAAAGGACCAAGGAGUUUAGUUAAGGUUUGAUUUCUUAAUAAAUCACAGUUGAGAUCUAAAAUUGAAAAUUCUGAAUUAAGUUUGGAUGGUUGAUUCUUUUCCCCACCUUAAAAUCAUUGAGAGGCUGAAUUUGCCCAAAACUCACUAAAUCAUGCAAGGAGCAAAGAGCACCAAUUUCCAUUUUUACAGGUUCUCGAAAGCACCUAUCUUGAAUGGACAACAUUAGAUUGUUUACAAUAUCUGUUAAUCACUGCGAUUAGAACCUUGAUCUUCUCCUUCUUCAAGAUGGAAAUCAGCAAGACACUUCAAGAUUGGUUUGCAAUCCUUGACAGGGGCAAGUUCCAAUACUUUAGCAUAAGCUCUUAUAGAUUCUCCGAUUUGAUCAAAUUUAUGAUGAAAUAUCUGUGUAUUUCUCAAUUGUCUUUUGGAAUUCAUCCAUUUUUCUUGUAAACUUUCUAGAAUUCUCUAAUAUGUUUGUAACAAAGAGAAAUAAAGAAAGAAUUUAGAAAAACCAGAGUGUUGUUGCUCUGAUACCAAUUGUUGUGACCCAGUCACGACAAGAGUAUUUGGGUAGUGAGAAAGCAAAGGAAAGGAGAGAAAAGUAGAAAAAAGGGAAGAGAUUACCAAGAGAAUAGAUAGAAGGGAAAGGAAGAGAAAAGAGAGAAAUAAAAGGAAGAUUUGGGAGAGAGGAGAAGAAGAAUUUAAAAGGAAAUUAUGUUGAAUUCUUUUAUUAGCUUCCCUUUACCAUGGCUCAUAGCGCAUUUCUAUUAGUAGUUAAUUCUCCAAGUGUGAAUUGGUUAGAAAACAGAAUUCCUAACCACUCUUAACUGUUCUAAUUAUUGUUCUAACAUCAGCCUAAGAUAAAAGAUAUAUUGCGCCAGCCACCAUAUAAAGACAGAACUUUCUUUUUUAUUUACCAUUUACCCCAUUGUUCCCCUGUAAUAAUCAUUACUUUCUUUCAAAUAUCGAAAAGUUUUGGGGAAAAUUUUCAGUAAACAUGAAAUUGAAUUAUCACACUUAUUUUGCACUCCAAUUGACUACCAGGUAGUAUAGGUGAAAAUUCUAGAAAAUAUGAAACCAUCACCAUAAGGCCAGUACCAAGCUUCAACUUCUCUGCUAUAUUUAUCUUCCCAAUGUCAAAUAAAUGUGAAGCCUCUAUACCUUAGUUACACAAUGGAACAAAAUCAAAACCAAUAUACUUAAUGACUUGACAUAAAAGAAGAGUUGGUUUGUGUAGGAUGAUUACAAUCGCAAUGAAGUUGUAUUCUAAUGCAAGUGCCAUUCAUAACAAGUUAUGGUAACAUUACAAAUAUUUGUUUUAUACUUUGAUUUUGAAUAAGGAUAUAACGGUCAAGUAAUUAUAUAUGUUUUCCUUUACUCCAUUAACAUUGGCUGGUUAAAGACUUAGAUCUUCAUUCUAUUAAAACUCACGGGAACAGGACCAGGCUAAAAGUUCUGUAAGAUUCAUGUCAAGCAUAUGUUUCCUUGUUAUAUUGAUGAUGAUUACCUACCAUGUGAACAAGGUUUCCUCUAUAUACAAAAUGAUGGGACCAUUGUUAUGUUUACAGUGGAACCAAAGCUCCCUUACUAAGUGACAAUUCCUGUUGUCAUAUAUUAUAGUGGUAUAUGUUGACUAUCAUGUCAUCUUUUUUCAUAUUUUAUUGCUUCAGCAGUCUAUUCUUAUUGUGUGAUGUUGGAACUUGGACAGUAACUCUAUGACAAGACACUCACAAAUAUUCUUCUUUCUAAUUUGGUAAACUAUGAAAAUCUAUGUUUCCCUUCUACAUUAAAUUAGAUUCUAAUGUCUCAAGCAAACAAUAAAAAGAGCUCUAGCGGAACUGACACAGGUACACUUCCACCUGCAGAUGUAGACAUAAAAAGGCUGAAAAGCACAACUGCAUCAAAUUAGAAAGAAACAAAUAGUUGGAGUUAUUGGUUGCAGAGCAGGAAAGACCCAACUCACUGGUAUCCACAGAUAAUCAACAGUUGCCAAAAAGGCAGGGAAGGAAAAGCAACUAUUCUUCCCACAGGCAUAUUUCCACUUUAUAAGAUGAAGUUCAUGGUUUAAGCAUACAAUUCUAGGUGACUUUAGUAAUAUGCAACUAAUGCUAUUAAGAUGAUAUCCUUUUCGUGGGAAUAGAAACCCAGCCAGCAAUAAAUCAAUAAAACGAAAAAUAUUUGAGGAGAAGCAAUUUUUAAAAAGGCACAGGGUUCUUCAAAAGUAGGGAUAAAAAACAAGUUAAUUUCUUUCCAAUCUCCAGUCACCAUGACAAUAGGGAUCUCAAACAAACUCUUGAAUGAGGCUGGGUAACUACUCUUGUAGAUCUCAUACAAAAGAUAUAUCGUACAUACAGCCAGAAAUAAUAUCCAUUGGCCCACACAGCAUGCGUAUAUUAAAUUGCAACUCAAUGUUCUAAUGAAUUUUUGAGUAACCUCCUUGGUCCUUCCAAAAGCGUUUAGCCACAAAGCAAACAAGCAAUUCACAGAGUUGCAACAAACCUUACCUCCUAGUAGAUGUGACCACUGCCUAUAAAGAAAAUGAUCUAAGUUUUAAUUCACUUGAUAAUUGAUGAGAAUUCUUACCAAAUUCCUUUGCAGCAUUCACU